GAUGAACGCUGGCGGCGUGCCUAAUACAUGCAAGUCGAGCGAACAGACGAUGAGCUUGCUCCUCUGACGUUAGCGGCGGACGGGUGAGUAACACGUGGAUAACCUACUUAUAAGACUGGGAUAACUUCGGGAAACCGGAUCUAAUACCGGAUAAUAUAUUGAAUCGCAUUGUUAAAUAGUGAAAGACGGUUUUGCUGUCACUUAUAGAUGGAUCCGCGCCGCAUUAGCUAGUUGGUAAGGUAACGGCUUACCAAGGCAACGAUGCGUAGCCGACCUGAGAGAGUGAUCGGCCGCACGAGAGCUGAGACUCGUUCCAGACUCCUACGGGAGGCAGCAGUAGGGAAUCUUACGCAAAGGGCGAGAGCCUGACGGAGCAACGGCGCGUGAGUGAUGAAGGUCUUCGGUUCGUAAAACUCUGUUAUGUGGGAAGAACAAAUGUGUAAGUAACUAAACACGUAUUGACGGUACCUGAUCAGAAAGCAACGGCUAACUACGUG
rnacentral:rRNA from 1 species